GACGAACGCUGGCGGCGUGCUUAACACAUGCAAGUCGAACGGAAAGGCCCUGCUUUUGUGGGGUGCUCGAGUGGCGAACGGGUGAGUAACACGUGAGUAACCUGCCCUUGACUUUGGGAUAACUUCAGGAAACUGGGGCUAAUACCGGAUAGGAGCUCCUGCUGCAUGGUGGGGGUUGGAAAGUUUCGGCGGUUGGGGAUGGACUCGCGGCUUAUCAGCUUGUUGGUGGGGUAGUGGAUUAGCAAGGCUUUGACGGGUAGCCGGCCUGAGCGGGUGACCGGACAAAUUGGGACUGAGAUAAGGCCCGGACUACUACGGGAGGCAGCAGUGGGGAAUAUUGCACAAUGGGCGGGAGCCUGAUGCAGCAACGCCGCGUGCGGGAUGACGGCCUUCGGGUUGUAAACCGCUUUCGCCUGUGACGAAGCGUGAGUGACGGUAAUGGGUAAAGAAGCACCGGCUAACUACGUG
rnacentral:rRNA from 1 species